AGUGAACGCUGGCGGUAGGCCUAACACAUGCAAGUCGAACGGCAGCACAGUAAGAGCUUGCUCUUACGGGUGGCGAGUGGCGGACGGGUGAGGAAUACAUCGGAAUCUACUUUUUCGUGGGGGAUAACGUAGGGAAACUUACGCUAAUACCGCAUACGACCUACGGGUGAAAGCAGGGGAUCUUCGGACCUUGCGCGAUUGAAUGAGCCGAUGUCGGAUUAGCUAGUUGGCGGGGUAAAGGCCCACCAAGGCGACGAUCCGUAGCUGGUCUGAGAGGAUGAUCAGCCACACUGGAACUGAGACACGAUCCAGACUCCUACGGGAGGCAGCAGUGGGGAAUAUUGCACAAUGGGCGGAAGCCUGAUGCAGCAACGCCGCGUGCGGGAUGACGGCCUUCGGGUUGUAAACCGCUUUCGCCUGUGACGAAGCGUGAGUGACGGUAAUGGGUAAAGAAGCACCGGCUAACUACGUG
rnacentral:rRNA from 1 species